rnacentral:rRNA from 1 species
CUUCCGAUCUGUACGUCGUCCCAAACUCACUGCAGUCUUCCGUUUUCUUAAUUGAAUGCGGUAGUUUCUGCAGUCACUCCCUUGAUCAAAUUAGGUUGUUCAAGGUAGACCAAGUCUUCAUAUUUUCACAUGGAAUUGGGUGAGGGAACUUAAGAGUUUAAGUUUCUCGUCUUAGGAUCAUCCGGGGUCAUUCGUACUCGUCCGCGAGAGGUGAAAUUCUUGGACCGGACGAAGACGACCAGCAGCGAAAGCAUCUGUCAGGGAUGUUUUCUGCGACAAAGGACGAAGGUCAGGGUAUCGAAGACGAUUAGAUACCGUCGUAGUCCUGACUGUAAACUAUGCCAACUUGGGUCUUGCUGGGCGAUGCUUUGUGAGACCCACACAGAAAUGAAAGUGUAUGGGUUCUGGGGGUAGUAUGGACACAAGUCUGAAACUUGAAGGAAUUGACGGAAGAGCACCAUAAGACGUGGAGCUUGCGGCUUAAUUUGACUCAACGCGGGAAAACUUACCAGGUCAAGACAUGGGCGUGAUUGACAGGCUAAUGACUUUUCUCGAUUCCAUGGAUGGUGGUGCAUGGUCGCACUUAGUUGGUGCAGUGAUUUGUCGGGUUUAUUCCGGUAACGAACGAGACCUCGGCCUUGUAAAUAGCUAUGCUGCUUACAGGGACAUUGGCGGCUACGCCAAGGAAGCUCGAGGCAAUUGCAGAUCUGGAAUGCCCUUAGAUGUCCUGGGUCGCACGCGUGCUACAAUGACGCCACGAACGAGCUUGCAUGAUGAAAGUUAUGCAUAAUCAGCAGUCGGCGUCUUAAGGGAUAGUCUCUUGUAACUGUGGGACUCCAACUAGGAAUGUCUCGUAAGCACAAGUCAACAUCUUGUGUUGAUUACGUCCCUGCUCUUUGUACACACCGCCCGUCGCUCCUACCGA